rnacentral:rRNA from 1 species
GUCUCUAUCUAUCGUGGGCGCAGGAGUUUUGCGUGGUUCGGUCACUAGUACGAGAGGACCGUGACGGACAGACCUCCGGUUUACCGGUUGUGCCGCCAGGUGCACCGCCGGGUAUCCGCGUCUGGAUUGGAUAAGCGCUGAAAGCAUCUAAGCGCGAAGCCAGCCGCAAGAUGAGAACUCCUUAUGAGGGUCGUCCUAGACGAGGACGUUGAUAGGGCGCAGGUGUAAAGACGGCGACGUCAAAGCCGAGCGCUACUAAUUGCCCGAAACUUUCA